UCCGAGUUGACCCCGGCAGUCUCCCAUGAGUCCCCAGCCACCAAAAGGCGCUGCUGGCAACAUGGAACGAGGGUUGCGCUCGUUGCGGGACUUAACCCAACAUCUCACGACACGAGCUGACGACAACCAUGCACCACCUGUGUACCGACCUUGCGGGGCACCCAUCUCUGGAUGUUUCCGGUACAUGUCAAGCCUUGGUAAGGUUCUUCGCGUUGCAUCGAAUUAAUCCACAUGCUCCGCCGCUUGUGCGGGCCCCCGUCAAUUCCUUUGAGUUUUAGCCUUGCGGCCGUACUCCCCAGGCGGGGCACUUAAUGCGUUAGCUACGGCGCGGAAAACGUGGAAUGUCCCCCACACCUAGUGCCCAACGUUUACGGCAUGGACUAC
rnacentral:misc_RNA from 1 species